rnacentral:lncRNA from 1 species
UCAAGGCCUUGUUUCUUUUUGAGUGAUAACUACUUGACCAAAUUUAACCUACCUUGUGAGAUAGUGAUCUUUUGUGUCCCUUUUGAGCCUUAAAUUUUGAAAAAUUGUUUGUUUUAUAAACCCUGAAACCAAAAGAAAAGUAAAAAAACUACUCAACCCUUGUCUUAGGAUAAGAGAGCAAUUGUAUUUCAUUAAGGGUUAUGUCAAGAUUCAAGUUGGGGAGAAGUAGGUUGAAAGAAUAAUAAAUAAAUUGGUUUGAAAAAGUAGUUGAAUUGGUGAUUGAAAAUAAAAAGAAAAAAAAAUGUUGAAAAAGAUUUGUAUGACACAAUUGAAAUUCAAAAGAAAUGAGAAAAGAAAACAAGUUUUAUGAAGAAGUGUCAGAACAAAAGAAUCACCAUAAAAGAAAGAGGGGAAAGUGAAAGGGAGUGAAUGAAUCAUGAGAUGGAAUUAUGCAAGUUUUAUGCUCUCUUAUCCUUG